CAUUAUGUUGUCAAUUGCCAUCACUUGGUCAACUUUCUAGUCUCAAGGAGCUUUCCAUUUCACAUUGUCCGGAAUUGGAAAGAGUUCUGCCUCAACACCUUCCUUCUUUACAGACAUUGGAGAUUUAUGAAUGCAACAAGUUGGAGGAAUGUUUAUGUCUUGAAGGAUCUCCUUUGCUUAAAGAGGUUUCUAUAGAAAGAUGUUCCAAAUUGAAAAGGGCCCCCUUGCCUCAACACCUUCCUUCUUUACAAAAAUUGGAGAUAAGUCAUUGCAACAAGUUGGAGGAAUGUUUAUGUCUUGAAGGAUCUCCUUUGCUUAAAGAGCUUUAUAUAAGAGAAUGUCCAAAAUUGAAAAGGAUUCCGACUCAACACCUUCCUUCUUUACAAAAAUUGGAGAUACGUCAUUGCAACAAGUUGGAGGAAUGUUUAUGUCUUGAAGGAUCUCCAUUGCUUAAAGAGCUUUAUAUAAGAGAAUGUUCCAAAUUGAAAAGGGCCCCACUGCCUCAACACCUUCCUUCUUUACAAAAAUUGGUGAUAAGUGAUUGCAACAAGUUGGAGGAAUGUUUAUGUCUUGAAGGAUCUCCUUUACUUGAAAAUGUUUUUAUAAAAAAUUGUUCCAAAUUGAAAAGGGUCCCCUUGCCUCAACACCUUCCUUCUUUACAAAAAUUGCACAUUUGUGAUUGUGAAAUGCUGGAAGCAUCAAUUCCUAAGGGUGAUAGUAUGAUAGAGUUACAUCUAGAGAGAUGUGAUCGGAUUUUGGUAAAUGAAUUGCCGACCAGUUUGAAACAGUUU
rnacentral:lncRNA from 1 species